rnacentral:rRNA from 1 species
UACGUAGGGGGCGAGCGUUGUCCGGAGUUACUGGGCGUAAAGCGCACGUAGGCGGACCAUCAAGUUGGGGGUGAAAUCCCGGGGCUCAACCCCGGAACUGCCUUCAAAACUGUUGGUCUGGAGGUCGAGAGAGGUGAGUGGAAUUCCGAGUGUAGAGGUGAAAUUCGUAGAUAUUCGGAGGAACACCAGUGGCGAAGGCGGCUCACUGGCUCGAUACUGACGCUGAGGUGCGAAAGCGUGGGGAGCAAACAGG